rnacentral:snRNA from 1 species
CAAUGGAUUUUAGCUCUUUAAGUGUUUGUCCAGUAGGUUUUCUCAUGAGAGAAAGCCCCC